CAUGUUUUGCUUCAGACUCCAUGUGCAGCUUGACCAUGUGCCUCGCCCCCUCUGUGGAUGAACAGCACAAGGCAGGAGUGCCAGUACUAUUGCAUCGAUUGAGUCUUUCCAGCCUGGGAUUGUGGGAAGAGGAGGAGACAAAAGCAAAAGGGAAUGCAUGAUGAUGAUCAUCAAACAAAUGACAGCUCACCACUGGGAGAUCACCAGCCAACCAACAAGUCUGAAUGAUAUCAUCCCCUGCUUUCUGCUGCAGGGAAAAUUCCAUGCUUCUUACAGUAGAGAUAUCUGAAGGACUAAGAUGUAAUUACAGUUCCACCUCGAGCUCGGUCAAGCUCCAUCUGUUUCUUUGAGAUGAGAUGAGCAUUACAGCUAUGGACUGUUCCAGGAGCUGAUACUUCGGAGUCUGGCCAAGUGACCAACUUGUUGUCAGCUCCUUUCGUGAGAGUCGUUCUGGCUUUUAUUGGCACUUUCAUACAAAGUCCAAGGAAGCCACAGGGAGUUUUUGCAUUGACUUAAGUAGGUUUAAAUUAGGCCCCGAAAUAAAAAUUCCUUCUUUAGAAGGCAGGAUGUGAGGAGUGAGGAACUAUGAGUGGCUUAAUCACUACAUUUACUCAGCUUUAUGAGUAAUGACUGUGUCAGUUAACAAGUUUUAUUAACAAUAUAGUGACCUUGAAAACUCUACAUCUGACUAACUCAUUCUGUUUUAUGAGUAAGUGCUCUAUAUAUUGAGUGAGGAUGUAAUUGGAAAGAUGUUGUAUAAAGAGACUUGAAGCUUAAAGUGACUACAACAAUAUAUGGUAAUUUCAUUAAAAACUGAUAGUUUUUUAAAUAUUGAAAGAAUACCUUAAAUUACAGAAAUUAAGUGUGGCAGUGUAGUAUCGCUAUCAGGUAAAAUACACAUGUAUAGUGAAGUGACUACUGGUCUGUUAAUCAUAGGUAUUACGUGCUGGGUAGCACAGAAUUAUUCCAGCACUGGAAACUGUUAAAUGUAGAUGUGAUGUAUUUGGGGUCUGCAAUUUGCCAAGCUCUGAAGUCUGUAUGACAGUGAAAAUGGAUAUGCAUAAAAUGCAU